AACAAGUCAAAAUAACACCUGGCAUUUUGCCAGGGGAAUGUUAGAGUUUGUAAACAAGUCUGGAUGGUGCCUGGCAAAAUGCCAGAGGGAGUGGUUUGAGAAGUAACAAAAGCGAGCCAUUAAGUGUGGAGAUUCCUGAUUGGUUGACUGCUGUAUCUAGUUUAUGCUAAUUAGAUAAGCUGUGUGGAAUGUAUAAAUACUGCUCCUGUCCUGCAAUAAACGGCUCCCACUCCUGCUGUAUCAAUCUACACAAGUUGUUCGUCACCCCCCGGUUAUUUUGCUGCAGCCGGACAGUGGCAGAUGGUGGCCUGUACCGGGAGCCCCGGGACACUCAGGGGUAAGUGACGAAAAAAAAAGCUGCCUGUCCAUAGAUAGGACAGGAGCAAAUCUGCUCGUCCCUAGACAGAUAGGGCGAGAGGAAAAAAUGGCCAUUUCGAGAAAAUGGAAAAGGUUGAUACAGUAUGUUUGUGUCUUGUUUUGUCUCAGUGUAUUGUAUUGUCUUUGUGAUGAAAACAUGGAAGGGGUGAGAAGUAAAUUACUAAGGGAAGGAGGCACCCCAGUGGAACCAAGAAUAGUUAGGGCAUGUGUUGAUAAGAGCCCAGGAACUCUAGUCAGAAAGAAAAAGAAAGUUCAGAAGAAGAAGGAUUAUCAGGAAAAAAGUUGCAGCAAAAGGCUAUUACUAAAUACUUUUCGUUACCGGAGGGUGUGUGAAGCGGAGAGGCGGCUGCCAAGUGUGCAAGCCGGUCACAGCGCAGCAAGGAUUUUCCAAGAGGCUGAGGCGACUGGCCCUUCCCCGCCUCCUGGCCGGGGAGCUGGCUCUUCCACUGCCGUGAACCCAAAUCUAGACCUGACCUGGAGGCACAGUCUCGCAGGCUCUUGCUCCCUGUGCCCAGUAGCAGUUUGAGUCCAGGACACUCCCCAGGGCCAUCUGGGUCUGCCCAGGCACUACAGCCAGCAGAAGCCGCUACUGGUGUCCCUGAUGUUUGGUCAUUUUCAAUGCCAAUAACUAAGCUACAAUGGUUCUCCCAUACCUGGAAGCUAAUGAGUAAUUAUUACCAUUAAGGCUUAUUUCAAAUGUAAAAAACCUUGAGAUAAUGUACUAAAUUGUUCAGAAGGUUGUUUUCUUAGUAGAAUGCUACAGGAUUUUCCAUCCGGUGUUCCUGCCUUCAUCCCAGUGCCGGUGAGGAGGAGGGUGAAAGAAUUUCUAGUGUUGCUGAAAACCAGACGAGACUUCAGAUCAAGCUAGUUGCCUGCAGAACUUACCUGGACUGUGAUUUAAGCUAGCUGCCUGCAGAACUUACCUGGACUGUGAUUUACCUGGACUGUGAGUUAAUCUAUUGAGACACUGCUUUACCUGGACUGAGACAACAAACUGUAAUCUACAACAAAUUGUAACUCAGUAUCUUUGCUAAUGGUGUCAUUUUUUGUAUAAUUUUUCCAAGGGCUUCUUGCAUGGAGCCAUCAAUUGGCUUGGUAUUGUGGCAUUUUGUAUCCUCCCCUUCUGUUUGUAGCAGGUUAUUUAUGGUGUUUCUGUAAAAACCACUAUGGUCGUUAUUUAAAUUAAACAAAAGGGGGAAAUGUUGGAGUCUGUAAACAAGUCAAAAUAACACCUGGCAUUUUGCCAGGGGAAUGUUAGAGUUUGUAAACAAGUCUGGAUGGUGCCUGGCAAAAUGCCAGAGGGAGUGGUUUGAGAAGUAACAAAAGCGAGCCAUUAAGUGUGGAGAUUCCUGAUUGGUUGACUGCUGUAUUUAGUUUAUGCUAAUUAGAUAAGCUGUGUGGAAUGUAUAAAUACUGCUCCUGUCCUGCAAUAAACGGCUCCCACUCCUGCUGUAUCAAUCUACACAAGUUGUUCGUCACACCCCGGUUAUUUUGCUGCAGCCGGACUGCGGCACUGGAGACAUCUCGUGCUAAGUAUAAUAAACCAAUUCCCCAAAUCCAAAGGCCAAAUGUUCUCUCUGAUAUGCAGAUGCUAACUCAAAAUAAGGAGGGGAGUCGGUUAGGAAAAAUAUGAAUAUUUUGGAUCAGGCAAAGGGGAACGAAGAAGGUAAGGGAAGGAAAAUGGG
rnacentral:lncRNA from 1 species